rnacentral:rRNA from 1 species
GACGUAGGGCGCGAGCGUUGUCCGGAUUUAUUGGGCGUAAAGAGCUCGUAGGCGGUGUGUCGCGUCGGCCGUGAAAACCUGCAGCUUAACUGUGGGCGUGCGGUCGAUACGGGCAUCACUGGAGUUCGGCAGGGGAGACUGGAAUUCCUGGUGUAGCGGUGAAAUGCGCAGAUAUCAGGAGGAACACCGGUGGCGAAGGCGGGUCUCUGGGCCGAUACUGACGCUGAGGAGCGAAAGCUAGGGGAGCAAACGGG